AUUUAUCCAGGUAGUAUAUUUUUAAAUUGAAAUUUAAUAAAUCUGGCGGUUUUUAAAUCUUUUCAGAGGAACCUGUAAUUUAAAUGAUAAUCCACGAUAAAUUUUACCUUUUUUUUCUUGUAUAUCUCUGUCGUUGAAUGUAAUUAAAGUUUAUUUUCUUUUUAUUUAUAUUAUUUAUGUUAGGUCAAGGUGCAGUUAUAAAAAGGUAAUUAUGGGUUACAUUGAUUUUUUUUUUUAGAUAAUUAUUUUAAAUUUAUUUUGAAUUUGGAUUUGAAAGUAAUUUUAUUAAUUAAAUUUU
rnacentral:rRNA from 1 species